rnacentral:rRNA from 1 species
AACGAACGCUGGCGGCAGGCCUAACACAUGCAAGUCGAACGGACCCUUCGGGGUUAGUGGCGCACGGGUGCGGAACACGUGGGAACAUACCCUUUGGUAAGGAAUAAUAUUUGGAAACGAAUACUAAUACCUUAUAAUAUCUUCGGAUCAAAGAUUUAUCGCCAAAGGAUUGGCCCGCGUCUGAUUAGCUUGUUGGUGAGGUAAUGGCUCACCAAGGCUACGAUCAGUAGGGGGUCUGAGAGGAUGAUCCCCCACACUGGGACGUGAGACACGGCCCGACGACUCCUACGGGAGGGCAGCAGUGAGGAAUAUUGCACAAUGGAGGAAACUACUGAUGCAGCCAUGCCGCGUGAGUGAAGAAGGCCUUAGGGUUGUAAAGACUCUUUCAANGGUGAAGAUAAUGACGGUAGCCAUAGAAGAAGCCCCGGCUAAAUUCGUG